rnacentral:lncRNA from 1 species
CCUGUCCCUGCCCUUGCCUCACUUCCAUCUUGCCCUAUCCUGGCUCUGACACCUCUGCUGUACCUCUGGGCUUGUUCCUGCUGGGCUGAGCCUGCCAAGGAAGGCACAGCCUCAAGGAGCUGCUAUGGGAGGUGCUCUGCUGGCCCAGUUCAAGGGAGAAGUGCAGGCAUCGUGUGCUGGAGCUGCUCUGCCUGCACCACCCAUCCCACUCGUCUCCCAGUGCCACGGGCAGGGGCUGGUGGCAGGUCAGGUAAGCUGCUGGUGACAAUGGAGAGCUGGGAGCAAGGCUGGCUGGAUGAUCACUUUGUUGGACAGCACUCAUUUGGGGGUGAUGAACUUUUGGAGCUUUCCCCUCAUCGUGUCGCGGUAGCCACGUUUCAAGAGGUCGGGGACCGCAAGCAGGAAAACGAGGAAAUGAAGAAACAGGAAAAAAACCUGUGGAAGGAAAAAUGUCUCCAGCUCCUCCCUCCCCUGCAGGGCACUCUUCUCCGUUUGGUUUUCUCUUGAGCUGUUAGAUUUCUGAGGCACAGAGUGGCAGUGCCCAUUUCAUUGCAUGGCUCCUGCAGGAUGCAGCUCUACCACCGAGCAAAGCUGGGAGCUGCCUCCCUCACCUGGCUGGCCAAGAAGGAAAACUCCAAAUUCCAUGUGACUGUAGCACAGGACAAGGAUCACAACACUGGAUCAAGGAUCUGCCCCCACUCACAGCACUGCCAAGGACAUGGCAAUGCAUUUUAAUUCUGGCUAUGGAAGUAGGGAAAAAAAAGGUUUAUCCACAAAGUAAAAACCUAGUUCUUUAUAUGGGGAAUAUGAAAUGGAAGCAAACCCCAAGGCUAUAUGUAGAAACACCUUUCUGAGCCCUUCAGGGUGCCUGUAGCCCUUGUUUCUGGUUACCUGUCCAUCUCUCACAGCUUCCAGAGGCUCCAGAAACCCCCCCCCCCAUCUUUCCAGACACACUUCUGGAAGCAGCACUUUUUCCAUGGUGCUGGAGAGCACUUGCAGAGCUCCAUCACUGAGGGUUGGGCCAGAGCAUUUGCCCAAGAGUCUGAUUUAAAGCCCUGUGCUCACCCAGCAAAACCCAGGGCCUGAUUUGGCAAUGCUCUCCCUUGAGCAGACUGAUGAGAAAAGGGGAGGCCAGGCACUUCAAUUGUGUGACCUUGUAAUGCCCAGAGGCUCAAGCCUGUUACAAAAAUCUUGCUGGUCCAGGCAAUUGCUAAAAAAAGGGAGGAAAAAAAAACCCCAACCAACCAAACCUGUCAUCUGUCCAGAUUGCUAACUAAAUAACCUGUAAGCUGCAAUAAUUCUGCAAAAGAUGCUCUCAAGAGUGUAUUUUACUGUGAAAGUGGUUAUAAAUAAUAAUAAAGAAAUGCAUCUGUGUGUAC